rnacentral:rRNA from 1 species
GACGAACGCUGGCGGCGUGCCUAAUACAUGCAAGUAGAACGCUGAAGCGAGGAGCUUGCUCUUCUUGGAUGAGUUGCGAACGGGUGAGUAACGCGUAGGUAACCUGCCUUGUAGCGGGGGAUAACUAUUGGAAACGAUAGCUAAUACCGCAUAACAAUGGAUGACACAUGUCAUUUAUUUGAAAGGGGCAAUUGCUCCACUACAAGAUGGACCUGCGUUGUAUUAGCUAGUAGGUGAGGUAAUGGCUCACCUAGGCGACGAUACAUAGCCGACCUGAGAGGGUGAUCGGCCACACUGGGACUGAGACACGGCCCAGACUCCUACGGGAGGCAGCAGUAGGGAAUCUUCGGCAAUGGGGGCAACCCUGACCGAGCAACGCCGCGGGAGUGAAGAAGGUUUUCGGAUCGUAAAGCUCUGUUGUAAGUCAAGAACGGGUGUGAGAGUGGAAAGUUCACACUGUGACGGUAGCUUACCAGAAAGGGACGGCUAACUACGUG